rnacentral:rRNA from 1 species
ACGAUUUGGAAUGGGCGAAGCCUGAUGCCACGCAAUGCCGCGUGAGUGAUGAAGGCCUUAGGGUUGUAAAGCUCUUUUACCCGGGAUGAUAAUGACAGUACCGGGAGAAUAAGCUCCGGCUAACUCCGUGCCAGCAGCCGCGGUAAUA